UUGCUUUGGCAGCACAUAUACUAAAAUUUGGAACUAUACAGAGUAGAUUAGCAUGACCCCUGUGCAAGUAAGACCCACAAAUCUGUGAAGCCUUCUUUAUUUUU
rfam:Ornithorhynchus anatinus chromosome 2, whole genome shotgun sequence.